GUGCACAUUUCAUUGGGCUGCUUUCAUUGUUGAAGGGAGCAGUGUUAUCUCUGAUGUGCCAUACAAUUGUGGAAGGUUAAUUAGCAGCAUAACUAGUUAUAGUAAUGCUGCCAGUCUCCUUCAAACAAAU
rnacentral:snoRNA from 1 species